UUAGUGGCGGACGGGUGAGUAACGCGUGGGUAACCUGCCUUGUACUGGGGGACGAACAGUUGGAAACGACUGCUAAUACCGCAUAAGCGCACAGCUUCGCAUGAAGCAGUGUGAAAAACUACCGGUGGUACAAGAUGGACCCGCGUCUGAUUAGCUGGUUGGUGAGGUAACGGCCCACCAAGGCGACGAUCAGUAGCCGGCCUGAGAGGGUGAACGGCCACAUUGGGACUGAGACACGGCCCAAACUCCUACGGGAGGCAGCAUG
rnacentral:rRNA from 1 species